GGCUGGGGUGCUGCGAAGGCAACCCAGGGAGGGCGCCCGAGCCCCGCCCAGGCCAGGCCCCAGGCUCUCCCGUGCUCCCGCCCCGCAGAGAGAGGCCGGAAGCGGCCCCGGAGGGCCCAUUGUCCGCGCUUCCGUUCCGGCUCCGCCUCGUCCUCCCGCGGCCAGAGGUGCGACCUCUGAGCCCCUGGCCAGCUCCCAGCCGGCCUAGGGGGGCGGGGGCACGGGGCGGAGGUCCCGCAGCCCGUGCUCGUCCCGCCUCGCUUGGAGGGAGCAAGGGCUCCGAGCCCUGGGCCCAGGUCCUGUGCCUCCGCUUCCCCGGCUGCGGGUACACCCCCAGCUUCCCGAGCCCCCCGGGCCCUCGCUGCUCCACCCAGAAGUUGCGGUGACUGCGGCCCCAGCACCCCGUUCCCUGGCCGGGCAUCACUUGCGCAGCAUGCUGCCCCCAGAGGACAGGGCUACAGUUAGUCGCCCACACCUCAUUCACCCCCUUGGGCCCUUGAGCGUCUUAGAAGCCGCAGAUGCCAAGGAGGGGACGCUGCCUCGCGGAUGGUCACUUGGGAGCAAAGCUGGGGACUAAAGGAACCAGGGACAGAGAUUCCUGCUCUCGCCAAAUUGGCCGCUCUGGGCCAGGCACUGAGGACACACCGCGAAGCCGGAUAGCCAGUGAAAUAUCAUUCAGCCAUAAAAAGGAAUGAAGUCUUGACAUACUCUACAACAUGGGUGAACCUUGAAACUGUGCUAAGUGAAAGAAGCCAGG
rnacentral:lncRNA from 10 species